AGGGGUAUAGCUCAACGGUAGAGCACAUGUUUAAUGUGCACGAGGUCCUCGGUUCAAUCCCCAGUAUCUCCA
rnacentral:tRNA from 1 species